AGCCUGGACAGAGAGAGCCCAACAGUGUACGCCUGCCUCUAUAAGGAUGGAGUUGGUGUGCAGAUACAGCUGUGGGACAGGGAGAAACUCCAAGCCACUUUCACCAUCCCAAGGGUCAGCAAGGAGAGUAAUGGAAAUUACAGCUGUGCGCUCUUUGAUCAAAAAAUACUGUCCAGGACACUGAUGGAAUUACAAGGAAAUAACACAGUACUCCUUCAAGUGGAGUCGAGAGACACAUGCGGCAAUGAGAGCUUGUAUAUAACAUCAGUCGGACUGGGGGUCAUCGUGUUUUUGCUGGCUGUUGCUUUGCUGCUUGAAUUUUGGAGAUCCAUGCGAAUUACAGACAAAGGAAACUUUGCAAGUCACUGUCACAGGGAACAAGCAGAAGAAAAUGAGAAUGAGACACAAAUACAAGAUUUGCUUAUCAACAUAGCAAUGCCGGAUUACGCAACUGUUCAAGACACACUCUGCAUUCUACCAUUCUGCUUCAGGGUCUUUAGCAACAAAUUAGUUGCCUGUAAAAAGAAGCAUUUAUAUAAAACAAAGAUGAAUAAAUGAUUUACCGUUACAAAGACCCGAGAGGAAAAGCCAAGAAAGGCCACA
rnacentral:lncRNA from 1 species